rnacentral:rRNA from 1 species
UACGUAUGGUGCAAGCGUUAUCCGGAUUUACUGGGCGUAAAGGGAGCGCAGGCGGUGCGCCAAGUCUGAUGUGAAACCCCGGGGCUCAACCCCGGGCAUGCAUUGGAAACUGGCGGGCUGGAGUGCCGGAGAGGUAAGCGGAAUUCCUAGUGUAGCGGUGAAAUGCGUAGAUAUUAGGAAGAACACCAGUGGCGAAGGCGGCUUUCUGGACUGAAACUGACGCUGAGGCACGAAAGCGUGGGGAGCGAACAGG